GAUGAAGAACGUAGUGAAAUGCGAUAAGUAAUGUGAAUUGCAGAAUUCAGUGAAUCAUCGAAUCUUUGAACGCACAUUGCGCCCCUUGGUAUUCCGAGGGGCAUGCCUGUUCGAGCGUCAUUACACCACUCAAGCUAUGCUUGGUAUUGGGCGUCGUCCUUAGUUGGGCGCGCCUUAAAGACCUCGGCGAGGCCACUCCGGCUUUAGGCGUAGUAGAAUUUAUUCGAACGUCUGUCAAAGGAGAGGAACUCUGCCGACUGAAGCCUUUAUUUUUCUAGGUUGACCUCGGAUCAGGUAGGGAUACCCGCUGAACUUAAGCAUAUCAAUAAGCGGAGGA
rnacentral:misc_RNA from 1 species